rnacentral:rRNA from 1 species
AGCAGCCGCGGUAAUUCCAGCUCCAAUAGCGUAUAUUAAAGUUGUUGCAGUUAAAAAGCUCGUAGUUGAAUUUCGGGACUAAUAUGUCGGUCGUACUUUGUACGUACUAGCAUUAUUGGUUUCUCCCUUCUGACGAACCACGAUGUCAUUAAUUUGGUGUCAUGGGAAAUCAGGACUGUUACUUUGAAAAAAUUAGAGUGUUUAAAGCAAGCUCGCGCUUGAAUACAUUAGCAUGGAAUAAUGAAAUAGGACGUUUGAUUCUAUUUUGUUGGUUUCUAGGAUCGACGUAAUGAUUAAUAGGGAUAGUUGGGGGCAUUAGUAUUCAAUUGUCAGAGGUGAAAUUCUUGGAUUUAUUGAAGACUAACUACUGCGAAAGCAUUUGCCAAGGAUGUUUUCAUUAAUCAAGAACGAAAGUUAGGGGAUCGAAGACGAUCAGAUACCGUCGUAGUCUUAACCAUAAACUAUGCCGACUAGGGAUCGG